rnacentral:sRNA from 1 species
UUGGAGCUGGAGAUGAGGGGCUGGGCACCCGUGGAAUAGGCAUGAGGCCAGAAGAGAGUGACAGCGAGCUCCUUGAGGAUGAGGAGGAUGAAGUGCCUCCUGAACCUCAGAUCAUUGUUGGCAUCUGUGCCAUGACCAAGAAAUCCAAGUCCAAGCCAAUGACUCAAAUCCUAGAGCGACUCUGCAGAUUUGACUACCUGACUGUUAUCAUUCUGGGAGAAGAUGUAAUCCUUAAUGAACCCGUGGAAAACUGGCCAUCCUGCCACUGCCUCAUCUCUUUCCACUCCAAAGGCUUUCCUCUGGACAAAGCUGUGGCUUACUCCAAGCUUCGAAACCCCUUUCUUAUCAAUGAUCUGGCCAUGCAGUAUUACAUCCAAGAUAGGUAUAACUUCCUGUUGACCAGUGAGAUGGGUGGCUUUGGGAUCAUGCAUGUUCAGGGAACCCACUCUGAGAGGGGCAGAGUCAAACCAACAUGCCUAAUUUUUGUACCAUAA